AAGUGUAUAGCUCAGUGGGAGAGUGCGUGCUUAGCACACAUGAGGUCCUGGGUUCAAUCCCCAGUACUUCUA
rnacentral:tRNA from 1 species